rnacentral:rRNA from 1 species
AUUGAACGCUGGCGGCAGGCCUAACACAUGCAAGUCGAGCGGUAGCACAGAGAGCUUGCUCUCGGGUGACGAGCGGCGGACGGGUGAGUAAUGUCUGGGAAACUGCCUGAUGGAGGGGGAUAACUACUGGAAACGGUAGCUAAUACCGCAUAACGUCGCAAGACCAAAGUGGGGGACCUUCGGGCCUCAUGCCAUCAGAUGUGCCAAGAUGGGAUUAGCUGGUAGGUGGGGUAACGGCUCACCUAGGCGACGAUCCCUAGCUGGUCUGAGAGGAUGACCAGCCACACUGGAACUGAGACACGGUCCAGACUCCUACGGGAGGCAGCAGUGGGGAAUAUUGCACAAUGGGCGCAAGCCUGAUGCAGCCAUGCCGCGUGUGUGAAGAAGGCCUUCGGGUUGUAAAGCACUUUCAGCGGGGAGGAAGGCAUUAAGGUUAAUAACCUUAGUGAUUGACGUUACCCGCAGAAGAAGCACCGGCUAACUCCGUGCCAGCCGCCGCCGUAAUAC